GAGCAGACUGGUGUUGGACCCCUGCCUGUU
rnacentral:piRNA from 1 species